AACGAACGCUGGCGGCGUGCCUAACACAUGCAAGUCGAACGAGACCUUCGGGUCUAGUGGCGCACGGGUGCGUAACGCGUGGGAACCUGCCCUUAGGUUCGGAAUAACUCCCCGAAAGGGGUGCUAAUACCGGAUAAUGUCUUCGGACCAAAGAUUUAUCGCCUUUGGAUGGGCCCGCGUUGGAUUAGCUAGUUGGCAGGGUAAAAGCCUACCAAGGCGACGAUCCAUAGCUGGUCUGAGAGGAUGAUCAGCCACACUGGGACUGAGACACGGCCCAGACUCCUACGGGAGGCAGCAGUGGGGAAUAUUGGACAAUGGGCGAAAGCCUGAUCCAGCAAUGCCGCGUGAGUGAUGAAGGCCUUAGGGUUGUAAAGCUCUUUUACCCGGGAUGAUAAUGACAGUACCGGGAGAAUAAGCUCCGGCUAACUCCGUG
rnacentral:rRNA from 1 species